UAAGAAAGCAGAUCUUAAACGUUCUUCCCACAAAAAAAGAAAUGGUAAUUCUGGGGUGGGUAGAGGUGGUAGCUGAUGUCAUCAUGAUGGUCCCCAAUUUAUAAGCUAUAAAAGCUCCCCUUGUGGCUCAGUGGGUCCAGAGCCCAACAUAGUGUCUGUGAGGAUGGGAGUUUGAUCCCUGGCCUUGCUCAGUGGGUUAAGGAUCCGGCGUUGUUGUGAGCUGUGGUGUAGGUUGCAGACGUGGCUUGGACCCCGCGUUGCAGUGGCUGUGGUGUAGGCUGGUAGCUGUAGCUCUGAUUCAACCCCUAGCCUGGGAACUUCCAUACGCUGUGGGUGCAGCCAUAAAAAGAAAAGAAAAAAUGUGCAGUUUAUGAACACAUCCCAUCAAGACAUUGUACACCUUAAACCUACAGGUGUUAGGUGUUAAUGAUAUCUCGGUAAAGCUGAAAAAGUUUUAAAUGAGGAGUUCCGUCGUGGCGCAGUGGUUAACGAAUCCGACUAGGAACCAUGAGGUUGCAGGUUCGGUCCCUGCCCUUACUCAGUGGGUUAACGAUCCGGUGUUGCCGUGAGCUGUGGUGUAGGUUGCAGACUCGGCUCGGAUCCCGCGUUGCUGUGGCUCUGGCAUAGGCCGGUGGCUACAGCUCCGAUUGGACCCCUAGCCUGGGAACCUCCAUAUGCCGCGGGAGCAGCCCAAGAAAUAGCAACAACAGCAACAACAACAACAAUAAAAAAAAAAAAAAAGACAAAAAAAAAACAAAGAUUUUAAAUGAAAAGCUCUGCAAGUAAUUCUAACAUGCACUGAGGAUGGAGAGCCUUGUUUCUCAGAGUGUUUCCUGGACCACAUCAGCCUCCCCUGGGAGCUUGACAGGCACGCAUAUCCUGGGCCCUGCCUCACCCCUCCUGAGUCAGAAACUCGGGGUUUCACAAGCCCUCCAGCUGAUUCUGAUGCCUGAGAAAGUUUGAGAACUGCCGUGUCAGAGCACAGACUUGAUUUCAUUGAAAACCGGAAGGCUUGGAUUCCUCUCCAGCUAUCUCCUCCUCUGUCCGGGGCUCUUCACCAAGGCCAUCACUAAGCAGUCACCCCUUGUCCAUCUGGGUCUCCUUUAAGGGGAAGUCGGGCUCACAGUCUUUCAAACCCCAGCCGUGCCUACCUGGCUUCUGUCACUCCGCUGGGCCCCCUUUCAAGGGGCAGCCCCCAAGCUGUCAUCGCUAACCUGUUCCUGAAACUGCCUGAAAGUGGGAUCAUAGACUUACCUAUCAUCAGGGAUUUUUAAAAAGAGAGCUAGACGCCUUGCAAUCCCUGAUACCACCUUACCUUCUCGAGUCAAUGUUUAGCAACUUAUUUCCAGUGCUUUGUCUAUGAGCGAUAGUUAUUUCUUCUAACCCUUCACACCUGAGUACACAACGGAGUCCCAAAGGUGUACAGAGAGGCCAUUCCAGGAUUGACCUGCAAUCAUGGUCUCAAUUAUAAGACGCUCAUUGAAACCGACAGCGCCCAUCCCUAGCAUCUAGUUUUAUUUUUCCCUUCUCAUUCUGUUUAUUAUUACUGGAGGUGAAAGAUGAGAGAGUAAUGAUGAUACUGCACAAGAGCUGUGGCAGGGACGUAUCUGUGGGCUGGAGCCUGCAUUCUCCACUUGAGAGCUUGGCUGGCCUGUCCCCAUCCAUCCGUCUAUUUUGUGUGCCCUGAAGUGGGGGCUUCAGGACCUCAGGGCAUCCUUUCCUGAGAAAGGUGAGAAGGCAUUGAGGAUGCCCCCCCUCGCCUCCCUCCUUCAUACCUGUGGGGGGGGGGGGUAUUGGAAACUUCUUUCUAUCUUGAGAAAGACAAAGAUGACGCUGUUAUGAUUCCUCAAACAUCUGGGACGUGCGUGCUUUCUCUUUGGACAUUUUCAGCAGGAGAGGGAGCAACAGAGGACACCACGUUCCCGGCGGAAGCGGUGGACCACGGGAAGGCUCCGGAACUUGAGAAGCGGCGUCGUCUGCGGGGAGGGGCGUGCACAGACAUCUGUUUGGGACACGAUAUUGCACAUGAACUGCAGCAAGAAGAGGCUGGGGGCCAGGGAGGCGUUCCUUCAUGCAGUAAAUAUUUACUGCGUGCCUACUGCUGCUAGGAACAGAGCCUAAACAAGACACAUUUCCUGCCUCGAGGAGUUCACAUCCCCCAGGGGAGGUGAAGGUGCAACUGGAAGGCAGUGUGGCCAGGGCCGUGGGGAGGUGCUGUGGGAAACCAGGACGGCAGUAUCCAGCCUGAUUUGGGGAGGAGGAGGGAUAGGGUCAAACCUCCCAGCCUGAAGGAUGCAGCCAGGUGAUUGGCUGGAGGCUGGUCGGGAGGCAGGGGGAGAGAAUCACGGCAGAGAUCCGGAUGCGCAGGCAUCUGGACUGUUGGGAACCGCAAGCCCUUCAGUGGGGACACGCAUGGAGCGUGUGGGGGAGGGGUGCGGGGUUCUGGAGGGACACGUGCAGGCAAGGUCACCCAAGUCCAGCCGCUUCUGAGCGCCAGCCUCUUCCAGCCGGCUGCCUCCCGGACACUUAUUUGGACGUCUCCAUGCGCAUGUCAGAUAAAAACAUGCCCCCACUUGAACUCCUGGUUCUCUUUCCUGCCUCUUCUCCCCCAUCCCGCCUGCUUGGAGCUCCGGCGAGCAAACUCGGAGGCUUUCUUGGCGUCUCUUUCCUGCACAUUCCUCAUGUCCAAUCCAUCAUGAGUCCUGUCAAGCAACUUCCAGAAAGGCCCCCGAAUCCGUUCACUCCUUCCUCUCUCCUCUGACACCCACACCUGGCAGGAGUGGCCAUCGCGUGGUGCUGGACUCCUGCGGCAGCCUUCCACCUGGCCACUCCCCACCCCCUGCAUCAGAGGCAUCUUCUAAAAACUCUGAUUGGGCUGUGGACACCUCCUGCUAAAAGCUCAUGACUAGCCUCCCAUUAUGAUUCAGAUAAAUCCCAACUCUUUAAUCUGUCUCGGAUGUCCCUCCUUGGCCUCGGUUUACCCUCUCUUUCGUCCUGCUGCGGGAGGCUUCUCUGCCUCUCUCUCGCUCUCUGUGGAUGCUGUUCUCCCAACCCUUGUCCUGUAACUUACACUCAUCUUUGAGAUCUCAACACCCUGCCUCCAUCCACAUGAAUGCCUCUGACAGUCUGUGGUGCAUGGUUACCCUGGAGACCUGGGUACCUGGCAUCCCUGCAUCCCUUCGCCCACACUCAGUGAUGUACCUGCUUUAACCAACAGGACGCAAGCUGGGUAGAUAGCCGUGCUAAUGCUUAGAUGGGAAGCUGUCUCAGGAGGGCCUGUUGCCAAUGCGAGGCAGACUUCAGAACGAGGGCUGGGAUGGGGUGGUGGCUGGGGCAGGGCCCUGCAUGCUGACUAACCCUUGCUUUUCCAGUUGGCCUGCUUCCCCAAAUAUCACUAUGGGCACUGCCAGGGUGAAUGAGCUCCUUAAUUAUCUGGGAGCUUAAAAGAGUGAGUUGAACUGUUGAAACUCACAGAAUCUUAGCUGGAGUGGGGACUCUGGGGAUCCAAUCGUUGCAUUGAGCUUUGAAAUAAUAAUUGUUUAUUGUUUAAAAGAUUUUAUUCUGAUACUAUGUCAAAUGAACUCUUUCAUAAAUAAAUUCAUUUGUCUCAUUUUAAAAAUUAGUUCCACAUAUAAGUGAUGUAUUUGUCAUUCUCUUUUCUGACUUCAUUCUCUCAAUAUAAGGAUCUCUAGGUCCAGCCAUGUUGCUGCAGACGGUAUUAUUUCAUUCUUUCUUACGGCUGAGUAAUACUCCAGUGUGUGUGUGUGUGUGUGUGUGUGUGUGUGUGUGUGUGUGUGUGUGUGUGUGUGUGUUCUUUAUCCACUGAAUUCUUUUGCUUCAGUGAUCCAUGGAUAAAAGCACAUGUCCAUUGAUAGCUUGCCCAAUAGCUGUGGAACAUUCUCCCUUCAGUGUUUGUUCUUCAAGUCUAGGGAGGCAGGCAUUUGCACAGCAUCAAAGCAGUCUGUUACAUUGGGUGCCGGCUGUUUCGAAUCGGUGACUGAUGACUUGGUUUAGGGCAGUAUAGCAUUAAAUUAACCUUCAUUAAAACCGAGCCUCUGCAGGGGAUUCUUUUUUUUUUUUUUUUUUUUUUGUCUUUUGCUAUUUCUUGGCCGCUCCGCGGCAUAUGGAGGUUCCCAGGCUAGGGGUCGAAUCAGAGCUGUAGCUGCCAGCCUAUGCCAGAGCCACAGCAACUCGGGAUCCGAGCCGCGUCUGCAACCUACACCACAGCUCACGGCAAUGCCGAAUCCUUAACCCACUUAGCAAGGCCAGGGAUCGAACCCGAAACCUCAUGGUUCCUAGUCGGAUGGGAACUCCUGCAGGGGAUUCUUAACCCACUGUGCCACAGUGGGAACUUCCAAAAAUGUGCUGAAUAUAUGAGUGUUUAUUACAAACUCUUCCUGAUCUUUUCAAUAAAAACAAUAGCAAUAGUAAUAACGACUCUGGGUGUUGAGUUGUUGAGUGUCUUAGGCCACGCCCUGAGCUCAGGCAGCAUCUCCUUUAAUCCUCCCAAACCCUGACUGACGAGUUUCAAGUUUCGAGUUUCAUAGUCUCCUGAUGGCCAAGCCACAAAAGCAGACACUCUAGCUCAGGAAAGCGAAGUCACCCACCCAGGGCCACACAGCUCAGAAGGGGCUGGAGUCCGAAGACUGUUUUGAAUACAAUGGAAGAAGGAGGAAAGUGUCCUUUAUCUCCUAUUAUAUUCGUGCUUAGAUUUCUGGCCUGUUUUGCAAGAGUGGGUUUGGGGUUGAAGUGGAUUUUAUUUACAGAGUUGGAAUUUUUCGAGGUGAAAACAUUGCUCUGAAAAGAAAAUACCUAUUGGAUGCCAGGACAGUAACAAUGAAAUAAAAAAAAACGCCAGUUCUAGUUCAUGGGAGGCCUUUGUCUAUUAUUGUAUGCACACACUGCUCAAAUUAUUUUCUUUUUCUUUAGAGAAAAUUAUUGAAUAGUUAUAGGAUACCUUUAUUGGUUGAGUUUAUUUGCUCGGUAAGAUCAUAUAUUAUUGAAGAUGUUUUGAAAUCAGCUCAUUGUGGUCUCUGAACUGCCUGCUUGUCAC
rnacentral:lncRNA from 1 species